UAUUGAAGUGUUGUGUUUGCAGAAGAAAGACCUUGUUGCAGGAGAGACUGAGAAUCUGAGGUGACACUCUGGCUUACCUCCUCUAUGUCAACACCCCAACCCCCACAAACCCUGACUCAACCCCUCUGCCACUUCUGCUCCUUCUCCAGUGCAUGUGUCCAUAUCCCAUUAAUUCUUCCACUCCUGGCAACAUCUGGCACACUCUUGAGAGUGCAUACAGCCGGCCUCCUUUCCUUUAGCAGACCAGGAGAGGAACCUUCUGAUAGACACGAGACAAGUCUUUUAAUUUGAAGAGCCUGUUUUCACAACUAUAAAAUGGAAAUCAAAUUAGGGAAUGGGCUGAUUGUAUGGGGACAGAAGUUCAAAACAUUUGCAUGCAAAUAUGCUCGAGAAACCAAGCCAGGCAUGGUGGUGCACGCCUGUGAUCCCAAUGACUAUGAAGGCUGAGGCAGAAGGAUGGCAGGUUCCAGGCCAGCUUAGCAAUUUAGCAAGGCCCUAAGCAACUUAGCGAGACCCUGUCUCAAAAUAAAAAAUAAAAAGGGCUGGGGGUGUAGCUUAGUGAUAAAAUGCCUCUGGGUUUAAUCCUCAGCCACACACAAAGAAAAAAAAAUUCCAGAAACAAGACUCUGUGGUCUAUCUUCUCCACAGGGAUUCUCCACCUAUCCUGCUAUCCUGGUUCUAGGGACUUCUGGGUGUGGAAGGGAGGGAACAUUAACCCCAGGACGAGUGAGCAAGAACCGAAAAGCAGAGUCCCUAAGAGAGAUGGAACACUGUUUUUGUUUUUGUUUUUCACAUUUCAACAGUGUGUAUGACAACUUUUCAUGUCAAAUAUAGAUCUAAAAAAAUAAACAAAUAAAAUUAAAAAAUGGUCCCAGCAGGGGCUGGAGUUGUAGCUCAGUGGUCAAAGCACAUGUGUGAGGCACUGGGUUUGAUCCUCAGCACCACAUAAAAAUAAAUAAAAUACAGGUAUUGUGUCUAUCUACAACUUGAAAAAAAAUAAUAAUCCCAGUGGCUCAGGAGGCUGAGGCAGGAGGAUCACGAGUUCAAAGCCAGCCUCAGCAAUGGUGAGGCACUAAGCAAUUCAGUGAAACCCUGUCUAAAUAAAAUACAAAAUAGGGCUGGGGAAGUGGCUUAGUGGUCGAGUGCCCCUGAGUUCAAUCCCUGGUACCCCCCCACCAAAAAAAUUUAAAAAUAGAUAUAUUUCAUCUUUUCUAAUGACUCCAUGAUAAUAUAUUGUAUUAUCUUCUAUAAUUAAUUACAUGUUUCAAUUAUUUACAAUAUUUGUUCUUAGAAACAAUUCUCACAUAUACAUACCUCACUGUACAUUUUUUUUGGUGUGUGUGUGUGGUACUAUGGAUUGAACCCAGGAGUUCUGAAUCAGCCCUUUUUAAAAACAGAGAGACAAGUUCUCACUGAAUUGCUCAGGACUUCACAAAGUUUCUGGAGGCUGGCUUUGAACUCAUGAUUCUCCUGUCUGAGCCUCCCAAGCCUCUGGGAUUACAGGCUUGUACCAUUAUGCCCGGCUCCUUAUAUUUUUUCUUAAGGGAAUUUUCUAGCAGCAGAAUUACUGGAACAUUGAGCAAGCUAAAUUAAAAAGUUGCUCACAUUACCAAACUGCCCUCUAGAGACCUUAUAUGAACUUACAGUUAUAUGAUGUUACCCAUUUCCUCAUUCCACUGCUGAUACUGUUUUUUUUUUUUUUUACUUUUUAAUAUUGGCCAAUCUCAUAAACAGAAAAUUAUAUCUAUUUUCUUUUGCAUCAUAAUUAUUAAUUAAUUUAUUUAUUUACUUAUUUUGGUACAAGGGAUUGAACCAAGGGGCGCUUAACCACUGGCCACUUCCCUAGCCUUUUAAAAAUUUAUUUAUUUUGAGAAAGGGAUGGAUCAAAUCCAGUGCCUCACACAUGUUAGGCAAGUGCUCUGCCACCGAGCUACAGCCCCUUUUUAUUUUUAAUUUUGAGACAGUGUCUAUGUUGCUUAAGGCCUUGCUAAGUUGCUGACGCUGGCCUUGAACUUGCCAUCCUCCUGUCUCAGACUCCUGAGUCACUGGAAUUACAGCCGGGUACAGCUUCACAUAUUUUUGAAGCACUGUUUAAGAUGCAUGAACAUUUAGCAUUGUUAUGUCCUUUUGACCAAAGGACCUCUUUGCCAUUAUUAAAGGUGAG
rnacentral:lncRNA from 1 species